CCUACGGGUGGCUGCAGUGGGGAAUAUUGGACAAUGGGCGAAAGCCUGAUCCAGCCAUGCCGCGUGUGUGAAGAAGGCCUUCGGGUUGUAAAGCACUUUCAGUGGGGAAGAAAGCCUUGGGGCUAAUACCCUCGAGGAAGGACAUCACCCACAGAAGAAGCACCGGCUAACUCCGUGCCAGCAGCCGCGGUAAUACGGAGGGUGCGAGCGUUAAUCGGAAUUACUGGGCGUAAAGCGCGCGUAGGCGGUCUGAUAAGCCGGCUGUGAAAGCCCCGGGCUCAACCUGGGAACGGCAUCCGGAACUGUCAGGCUAGAGUGCAGGAGAGGAAGGUAGAAUUCCCGGUGUAGCGGUGAAAUGCGUAGAGAUCGGGAGGAAUACCAGUGGCGAAGGCGGCCUUCUGGACUGACACUGACGCUGAGGUGCGAAAGCGUGGGUAGCAAACAGGAUUAGAUACCCUGGUAGUC
rnacentral:rRNA from 1 species